AGGGAAUAACUAAGUCCACUUUGGAAAAAAAGAUUAAGUGUCCAUGAAGGGAGCCUGUGAAUGAUGACAUGCAAAGUUAUGGAUGCUGAGAAGUCAAAGGUCAAAAGGCUGCAUCUGUUUCGAGCCUUCUUGCUGGUGGAAACUUUGAAGAGUCCCAAGAUGGCACAGGAAACAACUUGAAUUUUGAGAGUAAAUCAAGAAAGAAGAAGACACUGAUCCAAGAAGAGGCAAUCUAACAUAACAGGUGAAUCUCAGGAUCAUGAAGAAUGGGCCUGAAGAUGACAGUUCAACAGUGCUAGGGAGUAUCUAUUCCACUUUCAAGCAGGAGAGUGGUAGGUUCAAAAUGACAGGACUUCAAGGAAAAAUAUA